rnacentral:rRNA from 1 species
GACGAACGCUGGCGGCGUGCUUAACACAUGCAAGUCGAACGGUAAGGCCCUUCGGGGUACACGAGUGGCGAACGGGUGAGUAACACGUGGGUGCUCUGCCCUGCACUUCGGGAUAAGCCUGGGAAACUGGGUCUAAUACCGGAUAGGACUCCUGGCUUCAUGGUUGGGGGUGGAAAGCUUUUGCGGUGUGGGAUGGGCCCGCGGCCUAUCAGCUUGUUGGUGGGGUAAUGGCCUACCAAGGCGACGACGGGUAGCCGGCCUGAGAGGGUGACCGGUCACACUGGGACUGAGAUACGGCCCAGACUCCUACGGGAGGCAGCAGUGGGGAAUAUUGCACAAUGGGCGCAAGCCUGAUGCAGCGACGCCGCGUGAGGGAUGACGGCCUUCGGGUUGUAAACCUCUUUCAGCUAUGACGAAGCGCAAGUGACGGUAGUAGCAGAAGAAGGACCGGCCAACUACGUGCCAGCCGCCGCAGUAACAC